GUGGAUUAGAUACCCUGGUAGUCCACGCCGUAAACGAUGGGCACUAGGUGUGGGAGGUGUCGACUCCUCCCGUGCCGAAGCUAACGCAUUAAGUGCCCCGCCUGGGGAGUACGGCCGCAAGGCUAAAACUCAAAGGAAUUGACGGGGGCCCGCACAAGCAGCGGAGCAUGUGGUUUAAUUCGACGCAACGCGAAGAACCUUACCUGGGUUUGACAUGUUCCUGACCGCCUUGGAAACAAGGCUUUCCCUUGUGGACAGGAUCACAGGUGGUGCACGGCCGUCGCCAGCU
rnacentral:rRNA from 1 species